AGACGCACUAGCAGACCAUAAAAAACAUUUUUUUCAAAAAAAUGGAACCAACUGACCCCUGCUUCAAUGUCUUUGGUUGGGGCGACCCCGGAGUAAUAAAAAACCCCCGAGCGGACUGAAGACACCCUAGCUUCAUAAUAUAGAGCCGCAGCUCACAAAACCAGAACUUCUGACCCUAAGAUCCGACACAGUCGAUCAACGGACCAAGUUACCCUAGGGAUAACAGCGCAAUCCCCUUUCAGAGCCCCUAUCGACGAGGGGGUUUACGACCUCGAUGUUGGAUCAGGACAUCCUAAUGGUGCAGCCGCUAUUAAGG
rnacentral:rRNA from 1 species